GGUCUUAUAGUCAUUAAUGAUUUUAAAUUGCAAAUUUAAAGGUGAUUGUUUAAUCUAAGGCUU
rnacentral:tRNA from 3 species